rnacentral:rRNA from 1 species
UACGUAGGGGGCGAGCGUUGUCCGGAGUUACUGGGCGUAAAGCGCACGCAGGCGGUCUGCUAAGUUUGGAGUGACAGUUGGUGGCUUAACUGCCAAAGUGCUUCGAAAACCGACAGACUUGAGGGCUUCAGAGGGACACGGAAUUCCGGGUGGAGUGGUGAAAUGCGUAGAGAUCCGGAGGAACACCAAAGGCGAAGGCAGUGUCCUGGGGAGUACCUGACGCUCAGGUGCGAAAGCGAGGGGAGCGAACGGG